rnacentral:rRNA from 1 species
UUUUUGGAGAGUUUGAUCCUGGCUCAGGACGAACGCUGGCGGCGUGCCUAACACAUGCAAGUCGAACGGAGAAUUUCAAGAAGCUUGCUUUGAGAAAUUUUUAGUGGCGGACGGGUGAGUAACGCGUGGGUAACCUACCCAUAAACCCGGGACAACCCUUGGAAACGAGGGCUAAUACCGGAUAAUCUUAGAGAUUGGCAUCAGUCUUUAAGGAAAGGUGGCCUCUGUAUAUGCUACCGAUUAUGGAUGGACCCGCGUCUGAUUAGCUAGUUGGUGGGGUAAAGGCCUACCAAGGCGACGAUCAGUAGC